GCAAAUAGAUGAGGGAAUGAAUAUAAAAUUUGUUUUGAUAUUUGCAUAUCUAAGUAGCAGUGAGAAAAUCUGCCUACUUGCUACAGAGCAAUUCAUUAGAGGAUUUGGAAAUUAUAGAAAAGUAUAACAAAAUUUUAAGAAUUGUAUCUCAGUGAUAUUUUGGACAAAUGGACAGAUAGGGAUAAAUAUAUAAUAUACAUGUAAGUAAGCUCUAUACACAAUUCUGUGUCUUAACUUUCACAUAUUAAGAUUAUGGAACCACGGAAAAUGUGCU
rnacentral:lncRNA from 1 species